rnacentral:rRNA from 1 species
AUUGAACGCUGGCGGCAGGCCUAACACAUGCAAGUCGAGCGGCAGCGGGAAAGUAGCUUGCUACUUUUGCCGGCGAGCGGCGGACGGGUGAGUAAUGCCUGGGAAAUUGCCCAGUCGAGGGGGAUAACAGUUGGAAACGACUGCUAAUACCGCAUACGCCCUACGGGGAAAGCAGGGGACCUUCGGGCCUUGCGCGAUUGGAUAUGCCCAGGUGGGAUUAGCUUGUUGGUGAGGUAAUGGCUCACCAAGGCGACGAUCCCUAGCUGGUCUGAGAGGAUGAUCAGCCACACUGGAACUGAGACACGGUCCAGACUCCUACGGGAGGCAGCAGUGGGGAAUAUUGCACAAUGGGGGAAACCCUGAUGCAGCCAUGCCGCGUGUGUGAAGAAGGCCUCGGUUGUAAGACACUUCUAGCGAGGAGG